rnacentral:rRNA from 1 species
GGAGCACAGGUUUACCUGUGUGACUGCGUACCUUUUGUAUAAUGGGUCAGCGACUUAUAUUCUGUAGCAAGGUUAACCGAAUAGGGGAGCCGGAGGGAAACCGAGUCUUAAUUGGGCGUUAAGUUGCAGGGUAUAGACCCGAAACCCGGUGAUCUAGCCAUGGGCAGGUUGAAGGUUGGGUAACACUAACUGGAGGACCGAACCGACUAAUGUUGAAAAAUUAGCGGAUGACCUGUGGCUGGGGGUGAAAGGCCAAUCAAACCGGGAGAUAGCUGGUUCUCCCCGAAAGCUAUUUAGGUAGCGCCUCGUGAAUUCAUCUCCGGGGGUAGAGCACUGUUUCGGCUAGGGGGCCAUCCCGGCUUACCAACCCGAUGCAAACUGCGAAUACCGGAGAAUGUUAUCACGGGAGACACACGGCGGGUGCUAACGUCCGUCGUGAAGAGGGAAACAACCCAGACCGCCAGCUAAGGUCCCAAAGUCAUGGUUAAGUGGGAAACGAUGUGGGAAGGCCCAGACAGCCAGGAUGUUGGCUUAGAAGCAGCCAUCAUUUAAAGAAAGCGUAAUAGCUCACUGGUCGAGUCGGCCUGCGCGGAAGAUGUAACGGGGCUAAACCAU